UAUAAUUUUUUAUUUUUCGUUUUAUUUGAAAUUUUUUUACGAUUAAUUUUAUUAUUAUUAUUAGAUAAUAAAAUAUGAAUAAUAUUUUACGCGUGACUAUUUUUUUAAAAAAAUUUUAUAAAUUUUUCAAAUAAGACGGAUGAUCAAAUAUUGGACAUAGAAAUCGA
rnacentral:pre_miRNA from 1 species